GCCAACUUAGCUCAGCUGGUCCAGAGCACGUGAUUUGUAAUCUCGGGGUCCAGGGUUCGAAUCCCUGAGUUGGCU
rfam:Treponema maltophilum ATCC 51939 genomic scaffold aczIZ-supercont-complete, whole genome shotgun sequence.